UACGUAGGGGGCAAGCGGUUGUCCGGAAUCAACUGGGUCGGUAAAGCGCACGUAGGCGGAUCUUUAAGUCAGGGGUGAAAUACCCGAGGCUCAACCUCGGAACUGCCUUUGAUACUGGGGAUCUCGAGUCCGGGAUGAGGUGGAGUGGAACUGCGAGUGUAGAGGUGAAAUUCGUAGAUAUUCGCAAGAACACCAGUGGCGAAGGCGGACUCACUGGCCCGGAACUGAACGCUGAGGUGCGAAAGCGUGGGGAGCAACAGG
rnacentral:rRNA from 1 species